UCCCUAUCUGCCGUGGGCGCUGGAGAACUGAGGGGGGCUGCUCCUAGUACGAGAGGACCGGAGUGGACGCAUCACUGGUGUUCGGGUUGUCAUGCCAAUGGCACUGCCCGGUAGCUAAAUGCGGAAGAGAUAAGUGCUGAAAGCAUCUAAGCACGAAACUUGCCCCGAGAUGAGUUCUCCCUGAGACUUUAAGUCUCCUGAAGGAACGUUGAAGACGACGACGUUGAUAGGCCGGGUGUGUAAGCGCAGCGAUGCGUUGAGCUAACCGGUACUAAUGAACCGUGAGGCUUAACCUUACAACGCCGAAGGUGUUU
rnacentral:rRNA from 1 species